CCUACGGGAGGCAGCAGUGGGGGAUAUUGCACAAUGGGGGAAACCCUGAUGCAGCAACGCCGCGUGAGUGAAGAAGUAUUUCGGUAUGUAAAGCUCUAUCAGCAGGGAAGAGAAUGACGGUACCUGACUAAGAAGCCCCGGCUAACUACGUGCCAGCAGCCGCGGUAAUACGUAGGGGGCGAGCGUUAUCCGGAUUUACUGGGUGUAAAGGGAGCGUAGACGGCUGGUCAAGUCUGAAGUGAAAGCCCGGGGCUUAACCCCGGAACGGCUUUGGAAACUGAGCAGCUAGAGUGCUGGAGAGGUAA
rnacentral:rRNA from 1 species